rnacentral:rRNA from 1 species
ACGGCUACCACAUCCAAGGAAGGCAGCAGGCGCGCAAAUUACCCACUCCCGGCACGGGGAGGUAGUGACGAAAAAUAACGACGCGGGACUCUGUCGAGGCCCCGCGAUCGGAAUGAGUACACUUCAAAUCCGUUAACGAGGACCAACCGGAGGGCAAGUCUGGUGCCAGCAGCCGCGGUAAUUCCAGCUCCGGUAGCGUAUAUUAAAGUUGUUGCGGUUAAAAAGCUCGUAGUCCGAACUCGGGUUCGUGGUCGCGUUCGCGGCCCCGGGGCGGCGGCGCCAUCGUCCGUCGUUGACUUUGGUCGUCCGUGCGCAUUCCCGGCCCUUUCCGCCGGUGUCAACCGCUUGCACAUCCGCCACGCGGUCCUGCCGGCGAAGUUACGCGGGGGAGUAGUAGGUGUUUCCGGCGGGUUUGCCGCGGAGGUUGCGUGGGGGGGUUCCUGCGAGCGUCGCCGUCUGCGGUGCAGCGGCGCCGGGGUCGUUCCGGCGCGCGCGGUCAAAAGGCGGUGCGGUCCAACGCGGCGUUUCUCCCUGUCGGCGGCGGCCAGCGGCGUUCACUCGUCGUCUGCGUCGCCGUCGUCGCCUAAAAGGGCGUGCGUCGCGUCGCUCCGUCUCGCGUUGUCGCCGCGGGCUUCCCUGCCGCUGUUCUUUCCGCGCGGCGGUGGCCUCCUCUUCCCCUCUCGUCCUCCAGUCUACCCUCGGGCCCUGCUCUACCUACCUCCGCGUCUAAUCUUCGCGUCUGUUUUGCGCGCGUGCGCGGUCGGCGGUUUCUCCUCCAAGGGUGCUCUUGACCGAGUGUCCGCGGCGGCCGGUACGUUCACUUUGAAAAAAUUAGAGUGCUCAGAGCGGGCUGUUCAAGCUUGCAUACGAUAAGCAUGGAAUGAUGGAAGAGGGCCUCGUCUACGUCUGUCGGUCUCCGUCUACGGCGAGGCAAUGAUCGAAGGGAGCGGUCGGGGCCACUCGUAUUGCGACGUUAGAGGUGAAAUUCUUGGAUCGUCGCAAGACGAACUGCAGCGAUGGCGUGUGGCAAGCACGUUUUCCUCGAUCAAGAGCGAAAGUCGGAGGUUCGAAGACGAUCAGAUACCGUCGUAGUUCCGACCGUAAACGAUGCCGACCGGCGAUCCGCCGGCGUUCGCUUCCAUGACCCGGCGGGUAGCCUGCGGGAAACCAGAGUUCGGUUCCGGGGGGAGUAUGGUUGCAAAGCUGAAACUUAAAGGAAUUGACGGAAGGGCACCACCAGGAGUGGAGCCUGCGGCUUAAUUUGACCCAACACGGGAAAACUCACCCGGUCCGGACACCGGUAGGAUUGACAGAUCGAUAGCUCUUUCUCGAUUCGGUGGGUGGUGGUGCAUGGCCGUUCUUAGUUGGUGGAGCGAUCCGUCUGGUUGAUUCCGAUAACGAACGAGACUCCGGCCUGCUAACUAGUGCGCCGAUGUGUGUGUUUAUUCAACGGCGGGCUCGGCGUUCAUCGCAGCGCCCGGGUCCGGGUCGGUUUUCUCACGCACUUCUUAGAGGGACGGGUGGCAGAAAGCCACACGAGGCGGAGCGAUAACAGGUCUGUGAUGCCCUUAGAUGUCCGGGGCCGCACGCGCGCUACACUGGAGGUAUCAGCGGGGACUUCGCCCCGGCCCGAGAGGGUCGGGAAACCUCUUAACCACCUCCCGUGAUAGGGAUCGGGGCCUGUAACCAACCCCGUGAACGAGGAAUUCCCGGUAGGCGCGGGUCAACAGCCCGCGUCGAUCACGUCCCUGCCCUUUGUACACACCGCCCGUCGCUACUACCGAUCGAACGGUCCGGUGAGGUCCUCGGAUCUGGCCGACGACGCCGCCGGGCAGCGUGCACGUGGCGCAGCGGCUGCGGUCUCCGCCGCCGUUUCACGCGCGUGUCGUACUCGCCUCGGCGUUCGAUGCCUGGAGAAG